GUUUCAGGGUGAGCCGGACGCAGGCGUGCCUGCGCAGUGCGCGGAGGAGUGCUGUUCGUGUGUUCGAGUCCCUGGGUUGCUUCCUGGGGUCUGUGGUGCUGGGUGUGCUAUCUGCGUGUGAUUCUCUAGCGAGAGAUUGUGGGCGAGUGACCGAGUGGGCAAGGGGCCGUCACUGUGUGUGCGUGAUUUUGACAGUGUGUGGUGGUAGCUUCUGACUCCGCGUGGGUCGUUGAAUGUAUGACUGGGACCGUUUAGCGGUGGAUACACAACUGUGUGCGGCUGUGGAAGAUUGCCUCAUCCGUUACGUUCCCAUUUCCGUGGAACAACAGUUUUACCAGAAGGUUUCGAAGGAACCUUAAAGUUUGGAAGCGUAAGAGUUUAUCUGGCGGCUUUGGUGUCAUCAAAUGUGAGAAGCCCUGGACUUUACACAUCCCGAGCCAGUGUGAUCCAGUAUGAUUGGGAGUCCGAGUGCCAGAUGCCGGUCAGGACCUGUUAUGCUGGGUCUCAGAAUGCGGAAACUCUCCCUGUCCGAGGUGGAACAGUUUGUCCUUGAGUGAGGACUGGAGUCCUGAGUGACUCUUUUGAUUUGAUCCUGUUUCCCUCAAACCUGAGAUGGGAGCCUCACUGUAUUGCCCAGGCUGGUCUUGAACUCCGGAGCUCAAGUGAUCGUCUUGCUUCAGCCUUGCAAAAUGAUGGUGAAGCUGCAUCAUUGUCUGGGGUAAAUACCUGAGGUUCGUUGUCUCACGCCAAGGGAAUCAAGGACGUGGACACACAAGAAGUGAGUUUAAGAGCGGAGGUUUAAUAGGCGAAAGAGAAAAGAGAAUAGCUCUAGCUCCUGCAGAGAGAAAAGGGCUCCCAAGUAGGACUUCCAGUCCGUGGCGAAGGGCACGGGGUUUAUAGACUGGCUUCAGGAGGUGGUGUCUGAUUUACGUAGGCCCCAAAGAUUGGUUGGACCAGGUGUGCCAAUCAGAAGCUGGCUGCCCCACCCUAAUCUUUUAUUAUGCAGAUGGAGUCCCUGUCUGACCGGGCCAUGUUGUAUGUUCCUUGCUGUACACGUGGUUGACAAAGAAAAGGGAAGAUGGAGCUGCGAUGUUGGACAUGCCUGGCCCCCAGGACAUACAGCCCUGCCGAGCAAAUAAUGAACGUAACUCACAAACUUCCUGCUUAUCAUCAAACGCACGCAUCCACUUAUCAUCAAACACCUCGGGUGACAGAAGAAUGCAGGUCAGCUCCCUGCUGCCUUGGCAUUAUCAAUCAGCCCAGGAACCAUCCUAUAAAAUCUCCAGCAAGCCUUUGUUUCCUUGCAGUCAGCUCCUCUUCCACUGAUUCUGCCUGUUGCUCCCUGAUAACAUACUUUGAUACUGUCUUUAAUAAAUCUGCCUUUCUUCACCCACAGCUGUCUUGGUAAGUUCUUUUACCUCUGUGCCACCAGCCCAAACAGUUGCUG
rnacentral:lncRNA from 10 species